UACGAGAGGCGCAAACGUUAUUCGGAAUUACUGGGCUUAAAGAGUUCGUAGGCGGCGCAGAAAGUAGGGUGUGAAAGCCCUCGGCUUAACCGAGGAAUUGCGCUCUAAACUACUGUGCUUGAGGGACCUAGAGGUGAGCGGAACUGAUGGUGGAGCGGUGAAAUGCGUUGAUAUCAUCAGGAACACCGGAGGCGAAGGCGGCUCACUGGGGGUCUUCUGACGCUGAGGAACGAAAGCCAGGGGAGCGAACGGGG
rnacentral:rRNA from 1 species